GGAUACUGUGAAUGUAUAACCAGAGUCAGAACACCCGUCUCCUCAUACCCCUCCUUCAAUCCCAUUGACUAGCUGAGCGACAAGGUAUGAUAGCCAUAAGUGGCUCAAGUGAUGUUUAUCUUUCCAAGUUUUAUCCCAAAGUCAUUUUUAGUAAGAAAUUUUAUCUUACAUAUCAAGGACCUGUACUGCUCACCUAUACAUAUCCUUUUGUCUCUUCCUCCAGCCCAAGCUGAGUAAAAAAGGAUAUUAAAAACCCAAAUUGCAGGCCAGGCAUGGUGGCUCAUGCCUGUAAUCCUGGGAUUUUUGAAGGCUGAGGGCCGAAGGAUGGCUUGAGCCCAGGAGUCCGAGACCAGCCUGGGCAACAUGGCAAAACCUUGUCUCUCCAAAAAACAAAAAACCCAAACUGCAAAGGCUAUCAGUACUGUCUCCAUCUCGAUCACACAACUAGGCAGUGACAGAAACUGGAACAAGGAAAAACAAAAACCAGAUAUGAGACUAUGGAAGAGAGUACCUGGAUCUAGUUUAUUCCAAAGACAGACAAGCAGUUUGUGCCUCCACUCCAGGAUGACUAACUACAACGAUUACACGUAAAAAGACAAAACAAGGCCGGGCGCGGCGGUUCACGCUUGUAAUCCCAGCACUUUGGGAGGCCGAGGCAGGCGUAUUACGAGGUCAGGAGAUCGAGACCUUCCUGGCUAAGACGGUGAAUCCCCGUCUCUACUAAAAAUACAAAAAAUUAGCCGGACAUGGUGGCGGGCGCCUGUAGUUUCAGCUACUCGGGAGACUGAAGCAGGAGAAUGGCGUGAACCCGAGAGGCGGAGCUUGCAGUGAGCUGAGAUCGCGCCACUGCACUCCAGCCUGGGCGACAGAGCGAGACUCCGUCUCAAAAAAAAAAGAAAAAGAAAAAGAAAAAAAAAAAAACCUUGCUACACUAAGUUCCUGAGGGCCAAGGAAAGCCAUUUAGAUCUUUGGGUUUCAUUUGCUUCACUUAAGCAUCUUUAUUUUUGCACUUGAACGUCUGGCAGAGCAUUUUGAUGAUGAUGAUGCACAAAUACUACGAAUAAAUGGAUGCGUGACUAGCUAAAUAGAA